UUGAGGGGUCACUCACUUCUGAACGAAAAUUAGGGACAUCGCUAUGAGAAGAAACGUUAACAUUGUCGCCUAUGGGAAAACAAUUAGUGGACUGUACCCAUAUUGGGAAGCCUAUAAGUUCAUGGUGAUUGGUACAGGAAAACCAUGAGGUUCAUGCAGAUGGUGUUUAAAACUAUUGGCCAGCAAAUGCGAAUACAUCUUGAAACAUCACCAGCAAAAUGUGACAGUCGGCAAAAUGUAGGUUCCCGCAGACAGACGCAUUUUGCCGGAAAACGAAUCUGACAUGCCACCUCGAGAUUUUAACCAAGGAAAGACAAGUCGAUGUGCUUUGAUUUGAGGGGUCACUCACUUCUGAACGAAAAUUAGGGACAUCGCUAUGAGAAGAAACGUUAACAUUGUCGCCUAUGGGAAAACAAUUAGUGGACUGUACCCAGCUGUGU